UACGGGGGGAGCAAGCGUUGUUCGGAUUUACUGGGCGUAAAGGGCGCGUAGGCGGUCAGCACAAGUCAGUUGUGAAAUCUCCGGGCUUAACUCGGAAAGGUCAACUGAUACUGUGCGACUAGAGUGCGGAAGGGGCAACUGGAAUUCUCGGUGUAGCGGUGAAAUGCGUAGAUAUCGAGAGGAACACCUGCGGCGAAGGCGGGUUGCUGGGCCGACACUGACGCUGAUGCGCGAAAGCGUGGGAGCGAACAGG
rnacentral:rRNA from 1 species